GAUGAACGCUGGCGGCGUGCCUAACACAUGCAAGUCGAGCGGAGACUACUGAAACAGCAAUGUAACGGUGGUUUUAGCGGCGGACGGGUGAGUAACACGUGAGCAAUCUGCCUUCUGCAGGGGAAUAACAUUGUGAAAACAGUGCUAAUACCGCAUGACAUGGCACCGGGGCAUCCCGGAGCCAUCAAAGGAGAGAUCCGGCAGGAGAUGAGCUCGCGUCCGAUUAGGUAGUUGGUGAGGUAAAGGCCCACCAAGCCUGCGAUCGGUAGCCGAACUGAGAGGUUGAUCGGCCACAUUGGGACUGAGACACGGCCCAGACUCCUACGGGAGGCUG
rnacentral:rRNA from 1 species